CAAAUACUAAUGAUCUUAACCAGUUUCAAAAUAAGUCAAACCACCAGACUUCCGCUGCACACUCUGAUUUAAUUCAUUUAAUUCUCUAAAGUCACAAAUGAUUUCUGACUAAAGUAUCACUUUGCAUUAAGACUAAAAAACUCCAAAUUUCAAAUUUCCAAGUAGAACUAGAGCAAAACCUCUAGAUCUUUUUGUCCUCAAUUUAUAUAGAGUAUACUUACCAUAACUAACCCCCAAUCCUUUAGUCAAGUUUAAGGUCACUACGUGAUCUCCACAACCUUCUUAGAAUCCAAAAAUAUCUAGGUUUAAUUUAAAGGGGUAAUUCUUGUAUUCCUUUAGCAAUUUAAUCAGAAAAUCUACAUCGAUUUUCCUUCCAACAGAAUUUACUUCAAAUUCAAUGGGUUAGAACUGUUGAGCCAAUAUCACUAUGAGUAGAAAUUAACCCUAUCAACCUCUAAAUUCUUUUUCACCAAAAUUCUUAAUGUCUAUGAUCAAUGCUACACAUAAUAACUCACAUAAGCAUCUCAAAAUCGAAAUUUCUACUCAAUUUUGUAUUUUACAAUGACAAAAAUUUCUAGUUAGAUCAUAAACCGAGACUUGAGUUCAAAUUAACACAUCCAAUAGUCUCCAACAAUUAUAAGAAAAAUUCAGUAGCCCAAUCUGAAUAUACAAAUUCAAGUAAUUAGAAUUCUCCACCAAUUUGCUUACUAGCCCUAAAAAUUUAACUCACCAAUAGAAAUACAUCUAUUUAAAAUAUCCAAACAUGUCAAUACCAAAUAUAAUUUCAUAUACAGAUUUAACCUCGAAGAACAAUCUGCUUUAAUAUUAUGAAAAAUCANN
rnacentral:lncRNA from 1 species